CAUUAGUGAUAAUCAGUCAAAGCUACCGUGAAUGGGCAAAACAAAGGUUUUCAAAACCGUUCAUUAUCAAAAGUAAAUAACCCCUUGCCAUAAAACCUAUAUAAUUCCCAGAAAGUAGCAUUCAUAUAAAUAUAUCUUAAAACCUGUUAAAGAUAGCAAAUCUAUAAUCAUGCCACGUCAAAUAUCUCAGCAAGGAAAUAAGUAAGUCAGGUAAAAUAAAUCAAUAAGAGAUGGUACGUCAGCUGGAGUCAACUAAUGUGACUUGUACGGCUGGAUGUAGCACUCAUCAACUAGUUCUUUGCACACAAGUCAGAACCACCUAAAUUGGUCUGUACGACAAGCUGGGUGUAAAUAAUUACACUCAAGUGCUACGGUCACGUGAAGGCUGUGCGAAGUAUUGCAAGUCACCUACGAGUCGGAACCACCUAAAGUGGUCUGUACGAUAGGCUGCCACCUACCUUGGAUCCAAGGUGAGCGUGUGGUGUAAGAGGUGAAGGAUCAUGUGAAGGCUAGGCCCUGUCCUCGAGCGGAGCAUUAACACCGUGGUGCAAGAUAACAAUCUCUAAAUACAUCUCAAUACAAUUACUCACUACCAUCAUUACCAUUAAUAUACUCACCUGAAGCUUACCUGAGCGUUCGCAGCAUUGAGCAACAAUAUAUAUAACCAUACUAAUGCACAAUUAAACAUGGAGAGCAUUAGACAUGGCAUUUCAACAUAUAAAAUCAUUUAAUUAAAGUUUCUGGGAAAAAUACCAAGUAUAUAUAUACUGAAAACCAAAAGCCACUCACUGAUAUGUGGAAAGGUCGUAACCCCCGAGCCUUCCUUGACUGCGCUCGU
rnacentral:lncRNA from 1 species